rnacentral:rRNA from 1 species
GAACGCUAGCGGCAGGCCUAACACAUGCAAGUCGAGGGGUAGAGGAAGCUUGCUUCCUUGAGACCGGCGCACGGGUGCGUAACGCGUAUGCAAUCUACCUUGUACAGGGGGAUAGCCCAGAGAAAUUUGGAUUAAUACCUCAUAGUAUAUUGAAAUGGCAUCAUUUUAAUAUUAAAGUUCCAACGGUACAAGAUGAGCAUGCGUCCCAUUAGUUAGUUGGUAAGGUAACGGCUUACCAAGACAAUGAUGGGUAGGGGUCCUGAGAGGGAGAUCCCCCACACUGGUACUGAGACACGGACCAGACUCCUACGGGAGGCAGCAGUGAGGAAUAUUGGACAAUGGGCGCAAGCCUGAUCCAGCCAUGCCGCGUGCAGGAAGACGGCCCUAUGGGUUGUAAACUGCUUUUAUACAGGAAGAAACACCGCUACGUGUAGCGGCUUGACGGUACUGUAGGAAUAAGGAUCGGCUAACUCCGUGCC